rnacentral:rRNA from 1 species
GACGAACGCUGGCGGCGUGCUUAACACAUGCAAGUCGAACGGAAGGGCCCUGCUUUUGUGGGGUGCUCGAGUGGCGAACGGGUGAGUAACACGUGAGUAACCUGCCCUUGACUUUGGGAUAACUUCAGGAAACUGGGGCUAAUACCGGAUAGGAGCUCCUGCUGCAUGGUGGGGGUUGGAAAGUUUCGGCGGUUGGGGAUGGACUCGCGGCUUAUCAGCUUGUUGGUGGGGUAGUGGCUUACCAAGGCUUUGACGGGUAGCCGGCCGGAGAGGGUGACCGGACACAUUGGGACUGAGAUAAGGCCCAGACUCCUACGGGAGGCAGCAGUGGGGAAUAUUGCACAAUGGGCGGAAGCCUGAUGCAGCAACGCCGCGUGCGGGAUGACGGCCUUCGGGUUGUAAACCGCUUUCGCCUGUGACGAAGCGUGAGUGACGGUAAUGGGUAAAGAAGCACCGGCUAACUACGUG